CACGUAGGGCGCAAGCGUUGUCCGGAAUUAUUGGGCGUAAAGAGCUCGUAGGUGGUCUGUUGCGUCCGCUGUGAAAACUCGGGGCUUAACCCCGAGCCUGCAGUGGAUACGGGCAGACUAGAGGUAGGUAGGGGAGAAUGGAAUUCCUGGUGUAGCGGUGAAAUGCGCAGAUAUCAGGAGGAACACCGGUGGCGAAGGCGGUUCUCUGGGCCGAUAUUGACGCUGAGGAGCGAAAGCAUGGGGAGCGAACAGG
rnacentral:rRNA from 1 species